GUCGGAGCAUCAUCUGCUCCGGGCCGUCUGACCAUUGACCCCUCAUCACCCGGCCUCCACCUCACUGCACCAUCUCUCGAUUUCAUCCCUCCAUCCGCUGUCAUCGCUCUUCACAGCCUUUGUUUUCUCACUGUCAGAAAUGAAUAAUUUUGAAAGUGUUUUGAGCUAUUUUGAAUAUCUGAUGUUUUUAGCAUAUUAUUAGUGCCUGCCGCACAGAGCAAGUGCAGAAUGUGAAUUUAAAUGAGUUUAAAAUCUGAUCUGAGAUCCUGUUUACUGUCGAGCUAAAACAUUUAGCGCCUGUGUUCGCUCCAGCACUGCGAGGAAAGUUUGGGUAAAUUGUUUAAUGUGCAGGGCUGGAGGGAAAUGAUUGCGAGCAGAGCGAAAAGCAAACAGAGAGACAGAGCUGCACUCUUUCAGUAUGUCUGUCUCUCCUCUCUGUUCUCUGCGUCUGAAAGAGACGCACUGGUGUGAUAGAGUUCACGCUGACAGCCUGACACCACUCAUCUGUCUCCUGAGAGUCAAUCAUUCCAGACAGAUUGUGUAGAGCGUCCUGCAUUCAGCAGCUUAAAGACACCAGGAGAGACAGCAAGACUGGAAAGAAGGGACACAGCCAAGAGUGACAGGAAGAUGGAGGAAGAAAAGAAAAGAGUGCAUAACAGUAAAAAGGGUUCAUUUCUGUCAGGAUGGUGUGAGCGAAACGGAGGGACGGGAGGAAGAGAUGAUUACAGCAGCAUAACUUUGGAGCCAAAGGACAGUGAGAGAUGUUUCUAAAGAAGAAGGAGAUACAAGCACGAGAGAGGGAGAGGAAGCGAAGGGUCGAUUUAUCUUAUAUUGACAGGAGCGGCUUCAAACGAUGACCUUGAGGACUAAUGAGAGUAAAUGAGUGAAAUAUUUUUUACUUUUAAAAAGUGAAACUAUAAUCAAAUGGAAGCCUGAAAGAUGGACUAAUGAGCUUCAGCGAUGAUGAAAGUGCGAGAGAGCGCGUGAGGGAUACGGGCUGAUAGAAUGAGAGAGAGAGAGAGAGAGAGGUAGUCGUUUGGCAGAGUCUGCAAUGUCAGGCCCUCACUGCCAUCUCAUUAGCUGACCUGACGACUGCCUGAUUAGAAUAUGUUUGAUGAAAAUUUCAAGGAUUUUUUCGCCCCUCAACAUUCAACAAUUUUUGGUGUGAUUUAAUAAAUAUUGCACAACUUUUUUAUAGAGACAGAGAAACAGGGAGAUAAUUAAUAACGAUUAAAGCAGUUUGGACCGAACUGAUUUACUGUCAUUAUUCACCCCGAAAUCGACCGAUAUAUUCAGAAGUCAGAGACAGAAAUGGACAAAUAUUCAGACGCACACAUCCAGAAAUUUCUUGUGCGCACACUCGCAUGCCAGAUUUUAUCUCACUCAACACAAACUGAA